GGGAUUGUGGCUCAGUGGCAGAGCACUUGCCUCACAUGUAUGAGGCACUGGGUUUGAUCCUCAGCACCA
rnacentral:tRNA from 1 species